rnacentral:rRNA from 1 species
AUUUUAAAAAUCCUUUUGGUGUUACACCAUAAGGAUUGGUGAUAUAAUUGCCUGCUAGCAAAGCUAGCAGCACUGGUGGCGAAGCCUUUGGUUCUAUAGAACCAAAGUGCUACGCCCACCAGGCUAUAAAAUUAUACUUAAGACGGCCGUAUUGCCCUUGGUUUCUGCUCUAAAAAGCAGAGUGAAUCGGUCUCUCAGUCAAAACACAAUGAUGUUUUACGAGGAGCACAACAAAGCGCAACAAUAAGAUUCUCCAUACUGGAGUAAAUUACAAAUAAACGAGCGUGUUUUUCUUUUAUAAUAAAUUUUUUUAAACAUAUUUAAAAAA